UCUGUUUGCAGCAUUUGUUGCGUUGCGGGGUAAUGAUCAGAAAGCAUCAGGUUUUGUUCUUUAUUUAAGAUAAACUGUUAGAUAGCAGAUUAUAACAAGGUGGAGGGGGUUGGUUGGGCGCCAGUCGGCUUUCCCCAUCCACCUUAGAGUAACUGGGCAGAAAGAGCUCUGCUCCCCCCCACCCCCACCCCCAGCGACCCGGCUGUACCUGAGAUACGGAGAGCGUCAACAAGCUCCUAGCAACUCGCUUGGAAACAGUCAAGCUCGGCUCGCCAAUCGGCAGGGAGGCUGCGGCUGUGAUGUGACUUUCACGCCUGUCUUCAUUAACAGAUUACAGAUUGUCGCUGACAAGCCAGGACGGAGGGCGGCCACCGGGACACUUCCCCCCGGGCAGGACACAAGGAGGGGGGAGACCCGGCUUCAGCGCGCCACCAAGAAGCACUGGUCGCAGGAUCGAUUCCACCAGCUCCUCUCUUCGUUAGCAGUGUUAUUGACAAGAAACCAAAGAGCUACUUCUUGAACCACCAUUCAAGGGAGCAGGGGGAAUAUUUUGACUGAAUAGCUGAAUACCGUAUCUUACCACUCAAGCACAAGACCGAAUGGGAUAGAGUGAAGAAACUAUUAAGAAAACUGAGAGAAAAUUUUCAAAAUUCAUUAACAACGUCGAAAGUAGCAUACUUCAAGAGAAAAUAUGCUGAAGAAGAAGAUUUACAUAAAGUUUACCAUGGGUACUUUCCAAAAAACUUGAUCUUUCCUGAAGAUCGAACAUGUAUUCUGAGACUUUCACUAGAAAAAUUAAGGAUUCUUGAAGAUCCUGAAAUCUAUCUUCGAAGGGCUGUGUUAAUAAACAAUUUAUUGAGGAAAAUCCAUAUUGAAACAGAGAAGGAAGUCUAUGAUUACACUGGACAAUUUAAUAAGGCCUCAACACACCUAUAUAACGAUGCACAUAAAAGAGUGAAAUAUAUGAUGAAAGAUUAUAGUGGAUGUUCCCAGUCUUUGUAUUAUGAAGAGAUUGGUUCAUAUUCCUUUGUGCCUUUUUCUUCAAGCAAUGUCAUUUAUGGACUUGGUUUCCCAAAUGGUCAUUUGGGAAGAAGUACUUCCUAACAUGGAAUUCCAUACAGGAUGAGCUGCUAAGUCAAUACCUCCCCUCAUUCUGCCUGGUGCGUACGCCAGAGCUGUGUAGGCCGCACUCAUCGAUGAGUCUGCAUUCAGGUCCUCGUGUAUAUUCCCUGGUUAGAAAUUUGGCUUCUUCAUAAAUCGAAAAAAAAGAGCACUUAGUUUAAACUUUGUUUUUGAUCAUAUGUAUUUGGUUGGAAUAUUGUGUACUUAAUGUGUAGUGUUUUUCUUGUUGAGAAUGGACCAGAUGGUUAAAUAUUGACCAUGUAUGUUUUUUAAACAAAUACAGUAUAAAAUAGUGA